UACGUAGGGGGCUAGCGUUGUCCGGAUUUAUUGGGCGUAAAGAGCGUGUAGGCGGUCCGGUAAGUCCGCUGUGAAAGUCCAGGGCUCAACCCUGGAAUGCCGGUGGAUACUGCCGGGCUAGAGUCCGGAAGAGGCGAGUGGAAUUCCUGGUGUAGCGGUGAAAUGCGCAGAUAUCAGGAGGAACACCGAUGGCGAAGGCAGCUCGCUGGGACGGUACUGACGCUGAGACGCGAAAGCGUGGGGAGCAAACAGG
rnacentral:rRNA from 1 species